GGUAUAAGGCAUUAUACCGUGAAACUGCGAAUGGCUCAUUAAAUCAGUUAUCGUUUAUUUGAUAGUACCUUACCACUUGGAUAACCGUGGUAAUUCUAGAGCUAAUACAUGCUAAAAACCCCGACUUCGGAAGGGGUGUGUUUAUUAGAUAAAAAACCAAUGCCCUUCGGGGCUCUUUGGUGAUUCAUGAUAACCUAACGGAUCGCAUGGCCUUGCGCCGGCGACGGUUCAUUCAAAUUUCUGCCCUAUCAACUUUCGAUGGUAAGGUAUUGGCUUACCAUGGUUUCAACGGGUAACGGGGAAUUAGGGUUCGAUUCCGGAGAGGGAGCCUGAGAAACGGCUACCACAUCCAAGGAAGGCAGCAGGCGCGCAAAUUACCCAAUCCCGACACGGGGAGGUAGUGACAAUAAAUACUGAUACAUGGCUCUUUAGAGUCUUGUAAUCGGAAUGAGUACAAUUUAAACCCCUUAACGAGGAACAAUUGGAGGGCAAGUCUGGUGCCAGCAGCCGCGGUAAUUCCAGCUCCAAUAGCGUAUAUUAAAGUUGUUGCAGUUAAAAAGCUCGUAGUUGAAACUUGGGUCUGGCUAGCGGGUCCGCCUCACCGCGUGCACUUGUCCGGCUGGACCUUUCCUUCUGGAGAACCUCAUGCCCUUCACUGGGUGUGUUGGGGAACCAGGACUUUUACUUUGAAAAAAUUAGAGUGUUCAAAGCAGGCCUUUGCUCGAAUACGUUAGCAUGGAAUAAUAGAAUAGGACGUGCGGUCCUAUUUUGUUGGUUUCUAGGAUCGCCGUAAUGAUUAAUAGGGAUAGUCGGGGGCAUCAGUAUUCAAUUGUCAGAGGUGAAAUUCUUGGAUUUAUUGAAGACUAACUACUGCGAAAGCAUUUGCCAAGGAUGUUUUCAUUAAUCAGUGAACGAAAGUUAGGGGAUCGAAGACGAUCAGAUACCGUCGUAGUCUUAACCGUAAACUAUGCCGACUAGGGAUCGGGCGAUGUUUCUAUCUUGACUCGCUCGGCACCUUACGAGAAAUCAAAGUUUUUGGGUCUGG
rnacentral:rRNA from 1 species